UGGGGAAUAUUGGACAAUGGGGGGAACCCUUAUCCAGCCAUGCCGCGUGUGUGAAGAAGGCCUUAUGGUUGUAAAGCACUUUAAGCGAGGAGGAGGGUACUGGUAUUAAUACUACCAGCUACUGGACGUUACUCGCAGAAUAAGCACCGGCUAACUCUGUGCCAGCAGCCGCGGUAAUACAGAGGGUGCGAGCGUUAAUCGGAUUUACUGGGCGUAAAGCGUGCGUAGGCGGCUAAUUGAGUCGGAUGUGAAAUCCCCGAGCUUAACUUGGGAAUUGCAUUCGAUACUGGUUAGCUAGAGUGUGGGAGAGGAUGGUAGAAUUCCAGGUGUAGCGGUGAAAUGCGUAGAGAUCUGGAGGAAUACCGAUGGCGAAGGCAGCCAUCUGGCCUAACACUGACGCUGAAGUGCGAAAGCGUGGGGAGCAAACAGG
rnacentral:rRNA from 1 species